rnacentral:rRNA from 1 species
ACUCCUGCGGGAGGCAGCAGUGGGGAAUUUUGGACAAUGGGCGAAAGCCUGAUCCAGCAAUGCCGCGUGAGCGAAGAAGGCCUUCGGGUUGUAAAGCUCUUUUGUCAGGGAAGAAACGGUGAGAGCUAAUAUCUUUUGCUAAUGACGGUACCUGAAGAAUAAGCACCGGCUAACUACGUGCCAGCAGCCGCGGUAAUACGUAGGGUGCAAGCGUUAAUCGGAAUUACUGGGCGUAAAGCGUGCGCAGGCGGUUUUGUAAGUCUGAUGUGAAAUCCCCGGGCUCAACCUGGGAAUUGCAUUGGAGACUGCAAGGCUAGAAUCUGGCAGAGGGGGGUAGAAUUCCACGUGUAGCAGUGAAAUGCGUAGAUAUGUGGAGGAACACCGAUGGCGAAGGCAGCCCCCUGGGUCAAGAUUGACGCUCAUGCACGAAAGCGUGGGGAGCAAACAGGAUUAGAUACCCCAGUAGUCCCAUG